AAGAAUUGGUUUUUCUGGAAUGCAAAGUUCUUGAGUUAAGAGAGCUAUCAUAGUAUUCAACAUUUAAGCACAACUCUCUUCCUCACCAAUCUCACUUAUUCCCAACUUUUUCCCUUUUCUUUUUCAUUGAGCUCAUCUUCAUGCUUUUUCUUCUUUUCUUUUCUUUUUCCAAUGUAUUUUUGUAUCACAACAUUUGAGCUCAAUGCUUUUCCAAUUGCUUUUCAAUUU
rnacentral:lncRNA from 1 species